GUGUUGUAUGAAUGGAGAGAAGGUUAUCACUUCCCUUGACAAAGAUGGAAGAGGCCCUCGGGCCUGACAACACACAUAUGGUUUAAAAAUCUUAUAUUUAAAAUUAUUUUUUUUU
rnacentral:ncRNA from 1 species